GGGCAAGUGGGCAUGAUGGCCGUGCUUCCAGAGGCUUCCAGGGGCAGGCAGUGCGUGGAGGAGAGGAGCGACCUGAGCCGAGAGAGAGAGAGAGAGGGAAGGAAACGCCAGGAACCUCCUCCUCCCUCCUCUCCGCUCUCCUCCUCCUCCUCCCCCGCGCAUCCUCGAGCCCCCCAGGCCGGCGGCGCGGGACGCGGCAUGGCCACCGGCGGCGACGGCUGCGGCGGCGGGGAGCCGGCGGCGCCCGGCGGCGGCGACCUGUACGCCGUGCUGGGGCUCAGCAAGGAGUGCUCCGACGCCGACCUCAAGCUCGCCUACCGGAAGCUGGCCAUGAGAUGGCAUCCGGACAGAUGCUCGUCCUCCAGCGGCACCAAGCGGAUGGAGGAGGCCAAGGAGAAGUUCCAGGAGAUCCAGGGCGCCUAUUCCGUCCUCUCCGACGCCAACAAGCGGUUCCUCUACGACGUGGGGGUGUACCAAGAAGAAGAAGACAGCGACGACAGCAUGCAGGGGAUGGGGGACUUCCUUGGUGAGAUGGCCCAUAUGAUGAGCCAGACACGGCCAGCGAGGCAGGAGAGCUUUGAGGAGCUGCAGCAGCUGUUUGUGGACAUGUUUCAGUCUGAUAUUGACUCGGGGUUUUGCAAUAGACCUGCCAAGGGCCAUCAUGACCCGUUCCAAACAUUCUCGACCUCCCCUUCCUCGUCGCCAUCUCCACCACCUCCAGUAGCUACAGAGGCAGAAGCAGCCUCAUGUAACGGCAUUAACAAGCGUGGCUCAUCAGCAAUGGGCUCUGGGAAGCCUCCAAGAGCUGGGGAAGCGGGUGCGGGUUACGGCCAGCCUGAGUUUUGUUUUGGGAAUCUUCAAAGUAGCGGUGCUGGUUGACACUGGUUGGCUCAACUUGCCACGGCGUACGGCGACAACACAUGACAGUUGAUCUCGGAUGUCCUGGUGGUUUACUAAUCAAUAACAGACAAAAGAAUACUUACGAGCGACGCCAAGCAAGCGCCAAAGGCGCGAGGCAGGAACACCAGCAGGAGACGGAACGGGCAAAAGCAGAAGCUGUCGUCGAAGCACGACGUCUCGUCCGAGGACGAGAUGCUGAGCCCGCAGCAGCCCAGAGUAGCAUGACCCUCGAUGCAACCGUCUGGUCCCUUGUCACCUUAUGUCCUGACCAUGUCCUUGGUCACCCAGUAUCAGUGCAGCCAGCAAGUAGAGCGCCAGCGCCGGAAGCUGUUACAAGGAGGGGGGAUUGCUUCGUCGAAGGCUAUGUAGCCCCCCCUUAGAAGGUUUGUAAGAGAACCUAUAGCGCGUAAGACUCGUCGAUGUCACCACAUUGUUCUUUCUCGGUUUGUGCCGCUGUGUUGUUGUUGUUGUUGUUGUAAUUGGGCAUUGGAUUCUCGAUUGAUUCAGUGUUCAUUGUUGUUAUGAUGGAGGGACAAGGCUCCUUGUUGUGGUAAGAAGUCAGGGAUAACUUGACCAAA